rnacentral:rRNA from 1 species
UUCGGACAAUAUACAAGGUGCUGCAUGGUUGUCGUCAGCUCGUGCCGUGAGGUGUCGGGUUAAGUCCCAUAACGAGCGCAACCCCUAUCAUUAGUUGCCAUCAGGUCAAGCUGGGGACUCUAAUGAAACUGCCUACGCAAGUAGUGAGGAAGGUGGGGGAUGACGUCAAAUCAUCAUGCCCCUUAUGACCUGGGCUACAAACGUGAUACAAUGGCUGGAACAAAGGGAUGCGAAGCAGUGAUGUGGAGCGAAAACCCAUAAAAACAGUCUCAGUUCGGAUUGAAGUCUGCAACUCGACUUCAUGAAGUCGGAAUCGCUAGUAAUCGCGGAUCAGAACGCCGCGGUGAAUACGUUCCCGGGCCUU